GUCCAGGUGGCGGAAUGGUAGACGCGCUACUUUGAGGGGGUAGUGGGAUGAUAUCCCGUGUGAGUUCGACUCUCAUUCUGGACA
rnacentral:tRNA from 1 species